UUCCACACAUGCUGUUAAUUGAACUUAACUUGUAUUGAACCUCAAAAAAAGUUUUUAAUGAUCAAAAUAUUGUAAGGUUUACAUCAUUUUAUAGUUUAAAAUCAUAGACACACAACUGACUAUAAACAUAUUACUCUAAAAAACACUAUUGUUUUGUUUAGAUUUAUUCAUUUUUCUGUUUAUUAUCUUAUGUUUUCCAGCUUGUCUGCCUGUUCCUGUCAUCAGCAAAGACUGUUCAUCAUCAUCGUCAUCAUCAUCUUCAUCACAGCAGAAUUGUUCAUUGUUGUGUUCAGUGGUGAAUGUGAGUCAUGUGACUCUCUCCUGGUACAAAGGAAACAGUUUAUUGUCCAGCAUCAGUGUGUCUGAUCUCAGCAUCAGUCUCUCUCUACCUCUGGAGGUGGAAUAUCAGGAGAAAAACAGCUACAGCUGUGGGAUCAACAAUCCCAUCAGAAACCAGACCACACAUCUGGACAUCACUCAACUCUGUCAACCAUGUUCAGAUAAGGGCCUACCUUUACUUUACAUUGUGCUGGUGUCUGUUGCUGGAUUUCUGUUGAUUGUAGUUGCAGUCAUGACGUGCUGCAUCUGCAGGAAAUGCAGAAAAACCGUUGAGACAUGGGAGGAAAACAGCACUGAUUCAACAUUGGGUAAACCAACAACACGAAAAAUGAAAUCAAAGGCGGAGGCUGUGUAUGAAAAUGUCCCCAAAAAGUCAUCUACCGGAACUGAUGUUAGAGCUUAAACAGGCAUUUCCUCGCAACUUUUGUUUUAUUCACAUUCAUUCUCUGCCAGCAUGCCUCUGUUUUGCUUUUACUCUUUGUAUCUAAUUUUCUGGUGUUA